rnacentral:rRNA from 1 species
GUAAGGAAUAUUGGACAAUGGACGCAAGUCUGAUCCAGCCAUGCCGCGUGAAGGAUUAAGGUCCUCUGGAUUGUAAACUUCUUUUAUAAGGGACGAAAAAAGGCUUUUCUAAGUCGUCUGACGGUACCUUAUGAAUAAGCACCGGCUAACUCCGUGCCAGCAGCCGCGGUAAUACGGAGGGUGCAAGCGUUAUCCGGAUUCACUGGGUUUAAAGGGUGCGUAGGCGGGCAGGUAAGUCAGUGGUGAAAUCCUAGAGCUUAACUCUAGAACUGCCAUUGAUACUAUCUGUCUUGAAUAUUGUGGAGGUAAGCGGAAUAUGUCAUGUAGCGGUGAAAUGCUGAGAUAUGACAUAGAACACCUAUUGCGAAGGCAGCUUACUACGCAUAUAUUGACGCUGAGGCACGAAAGCGUGGGGAUCAAACAGGAUUAGAUACCCCAGUAGUCC